rnacentral:rRNA from 1 species
AACGAACGCUGGCGGCAGGCCUAACACAUGCAAGUCGAACGCCCUAGCAAUAGGGAGUGGCAGACGGGUGAGUAACACGUGGGAACCUUCCCAGCAGUACGGAAUAGCCCAGGGAAACUUGGAGUAAUACCGUAUACGCCCGAAAGGGGAAAGAUUUAUCGCUACUGGAUGGGCCCGCGUUGGAUUAGCUAGUUGGUGAGGUAACGGCUCACCAAGGCGACGAUCCAUAGCUGGUCUGAGAGGAUGACCAGCCACACUGGGACUGAGACACGGCCCAGACUCCUACGGGAGGCAGCAGUGGGGAAUCUUGGACAAUGGGCGCAAGCCUGAUCCAGCCAUGCCGCGUGAGUGACGAAGGUCUUCGGAUUGUAAAGCUCUUUUGGCGGGGACGAUAAUGACGGUACCCGCAGAAUAAGCCCCGGCUAACUUCGUGCCAGCCGCCGCAGUAACAC